CUGAUUUGAAGAGCCAGAUGGACUAACUCUGAUCUUGGAAGUCCACAGGCAUGUGGACCCUCUGCAUCACUCCCCGACCACUCUGAGUCACCUGAAGGCCUUAUACUGACUGUGAAAGUCUGCACAUCGAAGUUGAGCCAUGAGACUACCAAUCCCAGGACAGGCCAGUCUCUCCGAGCACAGUCUGGAGAGAUGACGAGUCCUUUCUAGGUUGUGCCAUGCAUUCUAAGAGUGGGCUUACAUUGUGUGGAACAGAGGCAUCUAAGACCUGCACCACAUCAGUCAGGCAUCUUCUGGACUCUCCCCUAAGGGGGAUUUGGGGAAAGAGAGAAGUUCCACGUCAUCACUUAAGCUGGGAAGAUGGAGAAGCCCCUCUAGGCUGCUGGCUUUGUUGAGUCAUCCUGAGCAGCUGCCCCCUUGUCCCUAUACUGCAGAGAACAGAGGAUUCUACUUUGAUGACUUCUGUAUAAGACAUAGAAACAUGGGGGUAGUUUUCUACAUUUCAAAAUAGCCUAGGACAAAUGAAAACUUCUUGUACCACAACAACACAGUCAAAGGGAAAUUUGUGUGGAGUUCACUUUCUAAAAUGUCACCCUACAGAGACCAACCUACAUCUCUGCCCAAAGGUCAUGAUAAAAAAUCUGGUUGGCAAAACCAUCCAGAAUAGCCAAAGAGUUCUUUCAAAUAGCAGUUUGGGGACAAAACUGAGUGAGAAAAACAGGUUCCAGCCCAAGGCCUACAAUCUCAGGCCUAGGGCUGAAGCUUGGCCUGUCCCUGGGAAGGAAUGACCACAACACAAUCUAGUGAUGUUCACAGGAGCACUCGACCAAUGCCAGCUCUACAAGGGGAGCAGGGAACCCCACAUAGUUGAACCAAGGUUCACCCCUUUCUCCAUGUCGGGACAGCAUAAUUCUCCAUGUUCUUGCUGGCCACUGAAAGAGUUGUGAGAGUGGCCAGCUGGAGACAGGCACACUGCCAAAGGUACAGAGAGAUGACAGGAGGGCCUGUGGUCAAGUUUGCCCCUUCAAGACUAUCCUAGGACCUUUCUUCCUUUGGAAGCAUGAAGGAAAAGCCUUUUCUACAUACAUCUUCCAACACCCAAAGUCCUCCCUACUACUAGGAACAACUUUCAUGAGCGUACUGCAAGCCUCAAUGCACCAGACUCAUCAACUCUUCUUUCUUCCCUGUAGCCCAAGGUCCAGAGUCCUCUCUGAACCUUAUGUAUGUGUUUUAUGUUCCCUUCUGAUAUAAAGGGGGUGGAGACCAUCUAUGGAGGGAGUGGACAUUCACAUAGGCCAUAUACUUAACAACAGCCUAUUCAGGCCAGGACCAGCCCUAUAGCAAGCAGCUACACUGCUUUCCUCCACACUCUGCCCACCAGUGGGUACUGGUGUGAUGGAGAAGAUUCUGGAACUCGUGUCUGAAUAGCUGGCUCCAGUGAACUGGAAACCAUCUUUAUACCUAAAACUGACUCUGCCCCGAUCAGCCUCCCCAGAGAUUACUAUAUGAGCAUAUCUGGGCCAAGCAAGAACAGAACUACCACUUGCUCCCCACUAUUCACCAGGAUGCUUCGGUGCUUGUCACUGACACAUUUUCAGAAGGUGCUAUGGCAUCUGCUAGCACAGGGGCCACCAACCUGUGUGAAUGAAGGAGUCCUUGCCUAUAGCAAAGCCAGGCACGGAAUCAGGUCAGAGACCCUCCCAUCCCAGCUCAGGAGACACUGGUAGAUCCUGGCAGGUCCAGAUGGAGCAGCAAAGAGCACACAGGAAUACAGGAAAAGAAAUGGCUGCAGAUUUCUGCAGACCCCAGCGUGCAAACACACAGGGUUCCUGACAGACUGGGCCAAAGAGGACAAAGGGCCUGGGGGAGCUCUGAGCUGAGAGGGAGGGCCUGGGGUUACAGUCUGAAGAACGGCAGGACUAUGGACUGUUCACAGGGUAGAGGUCAGAGAGCAGUGCAGCACAUUGGCCCGGGUUCCUUCUGCCUGGACAGAUAUUUCCCUAACCCUCAGAGGAAAUGAGCUCAUUUCCAAUUCUGUAUCUUUAGGCCAAGGAGCUCUGGUGUCCAUCCUUCUACCAGACUGUCUCCUCUGCACGUCAGGUUCUCUGAAAUUUAGAUUCCCCAUACACUGGGAAACAAGACUAGAGCCCUCCUACCUGAUGGAACAAUCUACAGGGAGGACAAGGCUGCAUGGCUAUGCUUCACAAUGACACGCAGUGGCCACUUUGUACUUAGAAUGUGGCCAGUGUUUCUUAAGAACUGGAUUUCACAUUCCAUUUAGUUUCAUGGGCCCUGAGACUACCACCCUGAAGAGCACAAUCUGGAGUAUGGAACACCAUAGAAAGAAAGGGCCAGGACUUUCUGCAUAGGCGCAGGCAGUAAACAGUCUAGGCCCCACAGACCAUCUGGUCUAUAAACUGCAUAGCAACUUAAAGGCAGCCAUAGAAAUGGGUGUGGCUGGCAUUAGAGUGAUGGCUCUGUGGUUAAGAGAGCUGCUUUUCUAGGAUCCCUGAGUUUGAUGCCCAAUACCCACAUCAGAUGGCUCACAACUGUCUGUUCCAAGGGAUCCUCUGGCCUCUGAGGGCAGCUGUCCCCACAUGAGCAAGCACACCUGUAAACAUACAUACCUACACGUAACCGAAAAUAAUAAAAUCAAAUUUUUAAUAUGGGUGUGGCUGUCUCCCAACAUAACUUUAUUUGUGAAAACAAGCAGCAGGCCAGAUUUUGUCAUCUGGCUAUAGUCUGCCAACUCCUUACAGGUUGGGAGUUCAAGCCUCAGGACUAUUACCAGCCUGGACAUCUUGCUGAACCUUAAAUCCUUUAUUUACUUUCUUAAAGGUGUCAGUAACACUAGGGGUACGGCUCAAUAAGAGAGCACAGGCUGGUACAUGUGCAAGGCUCUGGGUUUCAUACACACACACACACAUGCACACGCGCACGCACACACACCUCUGCCUCCCCACCCCCUUUAAGUGCUGAGCUCUAUCAUGCGAGACAAGGGUACUUGUGGACUAAAUGAAAGCGGCAAAGUCCUGAAGGACCUGACUCAUACCACCCCAUAACUCCUCUACUGUGGAUUCCCCGCCUGCUGGAGAAGUAAAGUACAUCCAGUGCUCAAGGUCAAAUGCAAUCCGAGGGCAGGUCUAGGGCAAACCCAACUGGGGCUCCUGGCUCCUGGUCAGGCUCUCUUGCUCUCAGUCACCCCAACUGAUGGUGACCCUACCAAAGUGCUGCUUGACCAACUCUAUCAUCUGCACUAAUCCGGGACUCAGUGGAAGAAAUCACACAGAAGCAGACUCAGAGCUGGAGAGACGGCCUAGUGAUUAGGGGCAUUUGCUGCUCUUGUAGAGGAUGGGGGGGGUCCAGUUCCCAAAACCUACCUGGCAGCUAACUCACAACCACCUAUAGCCCCAAUUCCAGGGGAUGCGAAGCCCUCUUCUAGCUUCCACAGAUACCAGGCACAUGUGCAGUACACACGGGGCAGACACUCAUACACACAAAAUAAAAGCAAGUUUUUAAAAGAAAGCUAAUAGCAUCUUAAGAUUCUGACAUGUCAAAUGACCCUAGGUACUGUUCUUAGCUCCAUGCUAUCACCCGUAACACAGGAACACCGUCUGUGGUCGUCACCCUCGACCAUGCAAGAUCAUGUGACAUUUGAUACACUGGAAAGCCAGGUGAAUUCAGGCUGUUGAGCACAGCACCACUUUCCCAUGAGGCCUCCAAAAUGGAAAGGUGCUUUCCUGUCCUUGGCCACUGCUCUCUGUAACUCCUCCCAGAGUCACACAGCUCUGCACAGGAGGAGGCCAGCUUCAACAUGAACUGAGUGAUGCUUGUUUCUUACUCUACUUAGGACUGAGCUUUAGAUCCCACCCAGGCACAGUGCUGUCCUUUUGCCUCUCCUCAGUCUAUCUACUAUGGGUAUCACUAGGACUACCACCUUCUCCAGAGACACAAUACAUAACCAGCUCUGGUCCAACCCUGGCACCAGCAGCAACAAGGGGCCUGCCCCGACAAAUUAAACAAAGGUGAAUUGAGGUGCAGCCAUUCAGCCUCUCAGGCAGCAGCAUCGGGGGCUCACUCGGCCCUCUCCUCAGCCCCAGCUCAACACCAAAAACUAGGCCUCUGUCUUGAGGGGUACUCAGAGUUUGGCAGUGACAGACAUCAUCAGGUCCCUUCCCAACUUUAAUCCCUCCAGAAACUGGACAGGAGUAGUUGUGCUUGGCUGUUCUGUCCCAAAUACAGGGAGAGGACUGGGUUGGGACAGGCAUGUCUCAUUGGUUCAAAGCCCAGCAGGAAGCUAGCAGGCCAGGAAGCUCUGCAGAGGAAGAGAGCAGACUGCUGGCCAUGCACUUAUGUAGCAGAAAACCAUGCCACAUAGCUGUGACUUCCUGCAGUCUUUUCUACAACACACAAGAAUAUGUCUAAAAGUCACACAAACUAACAGAAAGAACAGGCAUUUCCCCAAGCCAAGGUACACUCCAUUCAGCUGUGGCCUACCAUACUGACUGGCUCAGGGUCUCACCUUCUAGUCUGGCCAUGGCAUCCUUUUGCUACAUUAUUGCAGCUCACCUUUGGGCCAAUGUAACCUCAGCCAGGCCCAAUCUGUCUUCUCCCUUUCCUUGAAUGGGCCAAGGCCUUUGCUAGCCUUCCUAGGAAUUAAAUGAACAGGAGGUUCACUGCCCAAUCCUACCUCAGGAAUCAGUGCUGAUGAGCAAACCCUAAGGGGUUGGAAGAGACACCCAAAGGGCACAGAGCCUCCUCCCAGGAUCCUUAUUUUUCUUCCUUCUCUUCCUCGGGGCCAAAGUCACAUGCCACACAGACAACUGGGCCUGAAAUUUGGGCUGGCAUCAGAUGGCCGUGAGGCUCAGGAGGGCUAGCCGCCAGCAGUCAGGUGACCUGGGCAGGCUGCUUCCCAGGCCGUGUCAGCAACUCCCCCACCCUCGAAGAACAUGCUUUAACAGAGCCCAAGGGGCAGCAAAGCUUCUUUCCGAUCACAUCAACACGAUGAGAAGUUUUUUCCCCUUGGUGCUGGUGGGGUGGGAGCGUUUUGCAGUGAGUCAGAUCUCCGUAAUUCAUGUCAGGCUGAAAUGCACCAAUAUAGUACAGGCAUGGGUAAGAUGUAAGCUGCUUCUGAAAGUCCCAGGUGACCCACUGAAUGCUCCUUAUGACUAAAAUACACAAAACCAAGUCACCCUGGUCAUACAGGGAGUGCAGGCAUAGCCUUGGGUCUGCUUUAAGGUCAAAGGACAAGACCCUCCCUUAGUCAGUUGUAUCACCAAGAUAGCACCUAGUGGAGCCUACUGGAGAAGAUGGACCCUUGCACUCCAGAGCUGCACAGAUAUCCAUACGGGCAGGCCCAGCUCCCAUGUAAACUAGGUCUCAGUCAUCAGAUGGAGCCUAAGCACCUGAUGCUUACUUCUGACCUCCACCUGCCUCUUGCCUUUGUGGACCGCAUCCUUCCUAGGUCACACAGUGGCCUCCACGCUGUCUGCUCCUCCCUUGCCCUGUGCCACCACUGCUCAGACACAGCCUUCAAACCUGCAAGCAUCGGCUUCACAUUCCUCAUUCACAGCCCUUGGCCCUCCGAAGCCAUUCUGGCCUUGACCAGCUUAGCUUUUCCCAUCUACACGUUACCUUGGUGUCCAUCAUCCUGAAUGCCAGAGAGAUGGCUUCCUGCGGCUGCUGUCCCUUUUGCUCAGAAAACUGUUCUCCUGGCCUGGCUAGUCCCUUGUCUCCAGCCUUCAUCUGUCCACACACCUCAUUUCCCUAAGAUUCAAGUCAAAUGCCCUCUCUUCUAAGGGGGUGGCCUAGCCUCUGCCCCAUAGCUGGCUUCAAGUGACCUUCCUACGACUUCCACAGACUUGUGUGACUCUCAUGUACCCGUGUCCACACUACAGUAAUCAUACUGUGUGGUCCUCAGUAGGAACCCUAUGAACAACUGCACUGACUACCAUAACCCAAGCCUCCGUGCUGUGGAGCUAGGAUUUGAGGUUCUCAGCUCUCUGGGGCCUAAGAGUGUUAGUCAGGUAUUUACCAGAUGUGACAAGCUCACUGUAGCUUUUGUACCAUCGCUAUGACAAGCAAGGUCUGUGCUUUCCACAAAACCAGUGACAGGCUGGAAGAAGGAACAGAGUAAGACAGAGGACUAAGGCCAGCCCCAAGGGGGAGGAGCUGCCACAGCACAGAGCCCCUCCCAAAAGUCCAUAAGUACAUCUUCCUCUGUCAAGGGAUAAGGGACGUCUCCCAAAACUGCCAAAAUGACAGAAGAACAUUUCAGUACAUACUGGGAUAGGGAUGGUGGUAGACACCUAUAAUCCUAGUAAUCUUCCUGGAAGCUGAGACAGCAGGACCAUAAAGCCAGCCUCAGCUAUAUAAUGUAUAGGGCCAUCCCAGGAAAAACUCAUAAAGCAAACAAAUUGGGGAAAAGAAAAAAGAAGAAAAAAGGAAAGGGAAGGGAAGGGAAACCGUGCCUGCUCUGCCCUCCCCACAGGAAGCUGGGCUAUGGCUGAUAGUGAUGUAAUACUCCUGAGACACAGAGGUCAGAAGGACUGAAAAUGGGCAGGCCAAGGACAGCAAUAUGGUCCAGCCUCAGCUCCAUGCCCAGAACACAUGUAAAGGUGAAAGAAGAGAACUAAUUUUAUUAAGCUGUCCUCUGACUUCCACAUGUACACCGUGGCAGGUAGUGUGCACACAUGCACGAAUGUGGAUGUGAGUACACAAAGGCACAUGCACACACAUGCCCCCAAGGCAAUCUGAACUAGAAACAGUGCCUGAGGAACAGUGCCCUAGGCUGGCCUCUGGCCUCUGCACCCAUAUGCAUAUGCACAUGUGCAUACAUGGACCCACACACAGACACAGGGAAUAGGCAACCUGCAUCAACAGAAGCAUUGUGAGCACACAGGCUCUGCCCUGUGUCACUGGAUCAAGUUCUUGUCUGACUUCCACACGAGUAUCAUGGCAGGCCACACACAGCUUAGUUAAACUCUUGUUCCUUGAAGAGACUUUGGUCAUGUUCAGGUGGUGGUGGGGUUCUAGAGGAACUAGGGAGAGCACUCUAGAUGAAACACAACCUAACUGAGAGAGUGCUGACCUGUUACCAGUAUCAGAGAUGUGCCCCACAGAGAGGGAGUGCCUAUCAGUGAUACCAACUGCGAACUCUGACACCAAACCUGUGAAGUGAUAAAUGGCCCCUCACCCUCUGCCUUGAUAGGCACACCCAAGGUUUCUAGAGAAUCCACUCAUAGCGGAGAGAGGAGCCAGAUUCUGAGGCCACACCAACAUCAUCCAUCCAUACAUUUAAUUUUCUACUCGUCAGAAAAUUCAGUGAAUUCACUUUUAGUAAACAUAAAAUUUAGUUUCUUAAAGAGAAAGCUUAAAAGAUUUCAUUAUUAUUCUUGCUUUAAAACAUACACUAGGGGUUGGGGAUUUAGCUCAGUGGUAGAGCGCUUGCCUAGCAAGCGCAAGGCCCUGGGUUCGGUUCCCAGCUCCGAAAAAAAACAAAAAAACAAAAAACAAAAAACAUAUACUAAAAACUAAAUUAUAAUGCAUAAUUUCAACUUAUCUCCCUGAAAAAGACAUAAGUCCUAAGGUGAGAGUAAAAGCCUGUCCAGAGGAGCUCAGCUCAAAGGCCUCCCUGCUUUGCAUUGUGUCCUUUACCAGAUGAGCCCAGGAGACCUCUGACUGUCCUCCUGAUGACACAUUUGCCACUAAUGGCCAUUGGACUCUAGGCAUACCCAACCCACAGGGUGAAGGCUAUCAUAUUCCAGAGGAGGGAAGUCAGGGAGCAGAGAUACCUGCUCUAGGCACACGGUCAGACAGUCAGCACACAGAACACUGUGCUCUGAACUUAGGACUGAUCCCAGAGAUGAAUGCUGUCUUCGCUUGAAAUGACAUGGGAAUGGUUUCAGCUUACUUUGCUCUAAGUUCCUGUGAUAAUUAACAGUCCCCAGUUCUUCCCACUUUCUGGUUGACAAGUAGACUGCCCUGGGCCCAGGACAGAACCUCUGUCUGCCUGUCACCUCCUCUGUACAUCCCUCCACGUGGCACCACCCUCCUUCUGCCAGGGACUUCACAAACCAAACCAAACCAAACUAACCAACCAACCAACAGACUAAGCAAACAAACAAACAAAAACCCUCACCUGAUCCUCUUGAAACAUGGGGGGCAUACAAGCAAGCUAUGGAGUCUGAGGCCCACAGAAAGUAGCAGACAAAUCAGGCCUAACUAGGAAGCGGUAUAGUAACUAGAACCUUACAACUGAGAAAGUCACAUGGCUGCUAGAGGGACUUCAUGGAGACACAAUUCCCAGGGCCCAGUCCCUAGAACUAUGCCAGAGAGACCACCCCGAAUUCUCUACUACAGCUUUUCAAGACACAGAAUCACAGACAAACACCCUACUCACUGGUUCCAAGAGACAGCCCUCCCCGCAUUCACCCAGAAGAUGGCAAGCAGAACCUGGACAUUAGCUUUCACCUCUAAACAUGCAAAAAGACUAUUGACAGUCAGCCUGUAAAGCCUCCCUGUGAUUCCAGGCCCUUGGCCAGUGUGAACGCCAGAGCAAGCCAGGUCUCCUCCAGCUGGGCUUUUUGUCUGGUAGGGCACUUUGUGCUUCAGCUUGGGAGGGAAGGUGGCCUCCAUAUGACAAGGUGAAUGUAGCCGACAGAAGGAACCUACCACAUGGAUACUCAAGGCCCCUCCUGGCAAGAGUGCACACUGCUUUUAGCAAAAAGUCUGUUUUCUUAGCACUGAUGGAGGAGGUUCAGCACGGUGGAAGGGCUGAGAUCAAACUCCCAACCACCUUCUCAAGAGGGCAAGAGAUUCCUCUAAGCAAUACCAUGGGGCCAGUACGCUGAGCAACAAGUUAACCAACGAGUGAAGUAAGCAGCCCACCUCCGGCUGGACGCUCAGCAAGACCCAGGCAAUGUCUGCAGGAUAAAUACAGGAAAACCUGCCUUGGAGAAUUCACCCUCUCCCUGCCUUGUACUAGGCCCAAACUAACCUCAUUUACUACCACAGAGACUUGGGGGUUUUGAGACCAACAUCUUUUUCAUGGAGCACAUCUUGCCCUGGCUCCUGGCCAUCACCAUUUCAGUGAGGGUCACUACAGUACUGGCUGAGCACACUGAUCUGAUCCACCAUACACCUUUCAGUUGAGGUAAGUAUGCGCCUGCAGAGGCAGAAAAUGGCUCUGUCACCUCCCAAGAGCAGGUGAAUGAGUGUGCACUGAUUGGUUGAAGAACUCUGAUUGGCAGUGAUUUGGUCGGCUUCUGAAGCUGGGACGAGAUCGGGAGGAGAGAUGGGUCACAGCGGAAGGGUGAAGACUCAGGAGUCAUGGCCCUCUCAGGAGUCACCUUACGUCCAGAGUGCUGUAUCUCUUUUCCUUUAAGUCUGAACUGGGAGGUCAGAGAAGCUCCCUCUUCAAGGCCACUGGCCAACUCUAUGCACUGUAAUCCUAUUAAUAGCUUUGAGCUACAAGGUAAAAUCAGGUCUGACCCUCAUUUUCAUAGAAAGAUUACUGGGCUGUGCCCUGGACCUAAACUUCAUUCUGCCUACCCAGAAAGUCCAGAGGAAGCCUGCUUGAGAGAACUAUUCUGAAAACAGCGUGGGCAGCCUUCUGCCCUCUCCAACUCUGAGGAAGGUAGCUCAGAGAUUUUAAGAACCCUGAGCAGCAACUGGGUGGCCACAACAGAAACAGGAACUACCUGGGUGACGUCCACAGUGGGCACCUCGCCCAGAGCGUGAAGGGCAGUGCAGCAGCUGGACGAAGAGAGAAGAGGAGGAACGGAGCCCAGCAGAGCUGAGCAGAGCUGAGCCCAGCCAGAUCCAGCCAUGUGCUUCGUGUUGGCAACAAACCGGCUCUUUGGAGAGAGGAGGAGUCUGACAAAAAGGACAGCUGCAGCACAGCACAAGCAGAGAGGCAAUAUGCUUGAGAAAGCCCUGAGAUUGGGGUUAUCCCCAUAAGUUAAAACAAAAAACAAACCACCUUUGGGGUUUGCAGAACUACUUAGUCUAUUAACACCCCCUCCCCUCAUUGCGGGAUCAAUUAAACAGUCUGUCCACAUCUGGUUUCCAUCUAAAACCAAAACUUGUACUAUCAGCAUAUUAUAUAACAAAUUAUGCCUGCAGGUUUCUUUUAUUACACAUCAGAGAGGUGUGCACAGUGGUAGUGGUUGUGCUGACCUGAGUGUUUAUUUCAGUGCCCCCCCCCCUUUUCUGGG
rnacentral:sRNA from 1 species